rnacentral:rRNA from 1 species
UCUUUUCGGAGAGUUUGAUCCUGGCUCAGAAUGAACGCUGGCGGCGUGGUUAAGACAUGCAAGUCGAACGGUUUUUAUUGAAGCGCAAGUGGAUAUAAAAGCAGUGGCGAACGGGUGCGUAACACGUGAACAAUCUACCUUCAAAUGGGGAAUAGCUCGUCGAAAGGCGAAUUAAUACCGCAUACGGUUGCUUCUCGCAUGAGAGGCAUACCAAAGUCAGGGACCGCAAGGCCUGACGUUAGAAGAGGAGUUCGCGGCCUAUCAGCUAGUUGGCGAGGUAACGGCUCACCAAGGCUAAGACGGGUAGCUGGUCUGAGAGGAUGAUCA